GUAAGAUUUCCCUGUCAUUAGUGUUCCGGCCCCCCGCUGAACCACAGAGCGAUGUGGAGGGGACCGGAAUGAGAGGACUCACGAUUAAGAAGCAGGACCGCUGAUAGCACGGAGGGUUCUGCCGGACCGCCGGUAGCACUGGGGAUACAGCAGGACCGCCGGUAGCACGGAGGAUUCAGCCGUGCAGCUGAUACACGAGACGCCCGGACCGGAAAUGACGCAAACGUGAAGACUCGCGAACCGGAAGUAGAACAAGG